AUUGAAGCAGCGGCUCCCCCUACGAUCACCGAAGUUAAGCAACGUCGAGCCUGGUCAGUAACUAGAUCGGUGACCAUUUGGAAAUACUAGGUGCUGUAAG